ensembl:lncRNA
CACUGCUCUAUCAGAAGUAGUGGUCCAGCCCUGGCAACUGGAGCUCUUCCUCCUCCACCCUGAAACCCAGAGUCUUCCUCCCCUUGGCUGCACUGCUUCCAAGCAAAAUCAAGACCAGGUUGGGUGGAGGCAGGAGAGCACAUCUGAAGGCGAUUUCUUCCACAGUGUUGCCAUUUGCUCUGAACUCGAAAUAGAACUUCAGAGACAGAAGGGAUCUUAGAGAGUAAAUUCUUGCAGUGAUAGAAAGCUGAUUAGCACAUGGAGUAUGGUUCUACUGUUACUUGUUCUGAAGACAGAGGGAAAUGCCAUCAUCAUUGUGUGAAGGAAGCCUGGAACUCUCAUCCCUUUGCUGCCAAGUAAAUGUUAAUAGAAGUGAAAAGGACUGUAUAUCAAGAUAGUCACAGGAGCAAAGCUGCCACAAGUUUUUCAUACAGUUUUUCUUUAGAGUACUUUUCACUGGCUUCCAGUAACCUGAUCAAUCCAACAACCAGAGAAUUCAAUUUUCUUUGUCAAAAUUGAAUUGAAUUAGAUGUCAUUAUUCCCUGAGAGUAACCCAGACAUUCAUUGAAAAUUUCAACAGAGAUUUUCACAGAAAGAGUUUCAGCAAAGUCUAUGUGACUGUGAAUAGGAGAACAGAUGAAGAAACAAGGAGUCAUGCCUGUCUCAAAGGAGUGAUUUCACAAGGCAGUAAGAAAUGACCACAGGUUAUAGCUUGUGUUACUACACACUGAUGAUGCCUUUGAGGCUAUCCACUGAUGUCCUCACCCACGGCACAAUCUUUCUGAAGGUAUCGUUGGUUGUUUAUAAUGUUGGCAUAGUCUAGAAUUCAGAACUUUAAAUAAAAGUUCU